UGUUAAAUUUUUUUUAUCAAUUUGUACCAUUAAAAACUGUUGUUGUUGACGAAUAACUAAACAGUGAACGUGGCAUGCCACAUGUACCUCAUGUCAAUAUAUAUAAUCAGUUUUUAACAACGAAAAUAGAUGAAAAGUUUUAACA
rnacentral:pre_miRNA from 1 species